CACGUAGGGCGCAAGCGUUGUCCGGAAUUAUUGGGCGUAAAGAGCUCGUAGGCGGUUUGUCGCGUCUGCUGUGAAAACUCGGGGCUUAACUCCGGGCCUGCAGUGGGUACGGGCAGACUAGAGUGCGGUAGGGGAGACUGGAAUUCCUGGUGUAGCGGUGAAAUGCGCAGAUAUCAGGAGGAACACCGGUGGCGAAGGCGGGACUCUGGGCCGAUACUGACGCUGAGGAGCGAAAGCGUGGGGAGCGAACAGG
rnacentral:rRNA from 1 species